rnacentral:lncRNA from 1 species
AUCAAACAUAGGUGGUUACAAAGAGAUAAUAAGGAAAAAGACUUGUACAAGAAUAUUCAUAGCUGCACUCUUUGUGGUGGCAAAAAAUUGGAAAAUGAGGGGAUGCCCUUCAAUUGGGGAAUGGCUGAACAAAUUGUGGUAUAUGUUGGUGAUGGAAUACUAUUGUGCUCAAAGGAAUAAUAAAGUGGAGGAAUUCCAUGAGGACUGGAACAACCUCCAGGAAGUGAUGCAGAGUGAGAGGAGCAGAACCAGGAGAACAUUGUACACAGAGACUAAUACACUGUGGUACAAUCGAAGAUGAAGGAAGAGUGGUGUCCUUUUGUCCCACUGCUUGGGUUUGGUAGCCAGCUCAGCAUCAAUGCCUGUUGGACCAAGGGAUGAUCUUUGGGAGUAUGACCUGUUGGAUCUAGCCUAGUAGAUUAGAUUAGAUUAAACUUUUAUUAGGUGCUUACUGCAUAGUCACUGGACUCUGUAACUCCCAGAAUAUAAAUAAAGACAAAAAAAGUCCCUCUUUUUAAUGGAAG